AACAUGGCUGCUGCUAUAUACCUGUGUUUCUCUGCACUAAGCCUGUUUGCUUUUUGUUUUCUGUUUAGUUUGAUUCUCUGGGGGGGAUUAAUUGUCUUUUGCUUUUUUGCCUUAAUGUAUACUGUGCUACAUUACCUUAUGAGAGAUUAGCUGCAAGACUAUCAGCCCCAAUUCUCAGCAAGUGAAGACUACAGAAGGAUCUACCUGCUGCUGAUACACUGAAACCUCAGCUGAAAUACUUCUUAAACCACAAACUUAUUGUUUGGGAUGGAUAGAGCUAAAUCACCACAUCUUUUCACAAAAGGAUGCACUCCAGGAGUAAGAAUCAAACUGCUCAAGACGACACUACGGAUCAACAUUUCUUCCAGGAGAAGAAAGAGCUACCAAGAAUCCAAAGGUUUUCUCCCCUGACUCCCAUUCCACCAGAAACUAUCAUGUGCUGUUAUUUCAGGUUUUUCCAUCUCUAAACAACAAGGCUUUAACCACUGAA